GGAUUUUGAAAUAGUUGAAAUUCGAUACAUGUAUAUGGUUAACAUAUUGAUGCCAUCUGGAAUAAGAUAAGCACAUGUUAAGCAUAACAAUAAUAUUUCUCAGAAUUACAUACUCUACACAAGGCUCGCGUUUCACAAUUGGUUGUAUGACUUACAUAUAUCACUACACUAAAGUUUUAUACCCUAUCCUACUAUAAAAUGUAUCAUUUGACAUUCAAUGUUACUCGUAUGAAACGUACGCCAAAUACACUGACAGAACAAUACUUUUGAAUUGUGUAUUAGGAAGAACGAGCAUACACAUCGAAAAACAAAAC
rnacentral:lncRNA from 1 species